GACGAACGCUGGCGGCGUGCUUAACACAUGCAAGUCGAACGCCGAAGCUUGGUGCUUGCACUGGGUGGAUGAGUGGCGAACGGGUGAGUAAUACGUGAGUAACCUGCCCUUGACUCUGGGAUAAGCCUGGGAAACUGGGUCUAAUACUGGAUACGACAUGUCACCGCAUGGUGGCGUGUGGAAAGGGUUUUACUGGUUUUGGAUGGGCUCACGGCCUAUCAGCUUGUUGGUGGGGUAAUGGCUCACCAAGGCGACGACGGGUAGCCGGCCUGAGAGGGUGACCGGCCACACUGGGACUGAGACACGGCCCAGACUCCUACGGGAGGCAGCAGUGGGGAAUAUUGCACAAUGGGCGAAAGCCUGAUGCAGCGACGCCGCGUGAGGGAUGACGGCCUUCGGGUUGUAAACCUCUUUCAGCACGGAAGAAGCGAAAGUGACGGUACGUGCAGAAGAAGCGCCGGCUAACUACGUG
rnacentral:rRNA from 1 species